rnacentral:rRNA from 1 species
AUUGAACGCUGGCGGCAGGCCUAACACAUGCAAGUCGAGCGGAUGAAGGGAGCCUGCUCCUGGAUUCAGCGGCGGACGGGUGAGUAAUGCCUAGGAAUCUGCCUGGUAGUGGGGGAUAACGUCCGGAAACGGGCGCUAAUACCGCAUACGUCCUGAGGGAGAAAGUGGGGGAUCUUCGGACCUCACGCUAUCAGAUGAGCCUAGGUCGGAUUAGCUAGUUGGUGGGGUAAAGGCCUACCAAGGCGACGAUCCGUAACUGGUCUGAGAGGAUGAUCAGUCACACUGGAACUGAGACACGGUCCAGACUCCUACGGGAGGCAGCAGUGGGGAAUAUUGGACAAUGGGCGAAAGCCUGAUCCAGCCAUGCCGCGUGUGUGAAGAAGGUCUUCGGAUUGUAAAGCACUUUAAGUUAGGAGGAAGGGCAGUAAGUUAAUACCUUGCUGUUUUGACGUUACCAACAGAAUAAGCACCGGCUAACUUCGUG